UCAAAGUUCUGUAGGAAAACUAAAUCUCAAUCAAAUUCAAUUUCCUUUUCAUAAUUUGAAAGCUUAUCAAUGUUUCUUUCUGCUAGUGAAAGGUGGUUAUACGGACUUUAAUUUAAAGUUUCGGAAACACCCAGUCACUAUUAGGCUGUAAAAACAUUGAUCCUCGAUUUCUACGUUUUAUAUUUUUUCAUAAUUUCUGAGAUACCUCCUUAUUAUAUAAUCUGAAGAUUAGUUGACAGGUCUUUCAAAUUUUCGUUAAAGUAAAUAAGUAUUAAUAAAAGAAUCGAUAAAUACAUCAUUGAGAUACAGAAGGAAUAAUGCACGCUCAUUCGACGGGACUCCUGUGGUAUAUAUCAUUUGUAGUGUUACCUUGGCAGCAGUUUAUCUGAAGACAGUUUGAGUUGGAGAACUGUUUUCGAGACGAGCCGUGGUUGCACGAUCCUUCAUCAUCGAAAAUCAUCCACCAUCCGAAGUUAAACAUCCAUUUUUACCUUCUAAAUACUUUGUAUAAAGAUUUUGGAGCACAUCCGGAAGGUUAAAUAAUCACUUCUACUGCCCUGCCUGGUGUGUGGUGGAUAAGAGGCUCAACUCAGUUUGAUUAGCAUUGGUCACCUGUACAGCAGAUAUGGGGUUCAACUACAGUGAUUAUAAGGAUUAGCCCAGUUUGAAUAGCAUUGGUCUUAUGUACAGUGAAUAUAUGGAUUAGCCCAG